rnacentral:rRNA from 1 species
GACGAACGCUGGCGGCGUGCUUAAUACAUGCAAGUCGAACGCAGUGGCGAACGGGUGAGUAAUACGUGGGUAACCUGCCCUCCUCUUUCGGAUAAGCCUUGGAAACGGGGUCUAAUCCCGACUACAGGGGGAUGGGCUCGCGGCCUGUCAGCUGGUUGGUGGGGUGAUGGCCUACCAAGGAGGUGACGGGUAGCCGGCCUGUGCGGGUGAGCGGCCAGAUUGGGACUGAGAUACGGCCCAGACUCCUACGGGAGGCAGAAGGGGGGGAUAUUGCAAAAGGGGCGAAAGGCAGAUGCGGCGAAGCCGCGUGGGGGAUGAAGGCUUUCGGGUUGUAAACCUCUUAAGCUAUAGAACGGGUAGGUAGAGAGAAAGCGCCGGCUAACUACGUGCCAGCAGCCGCGGUAAUUC